UUUAAAUGUAAAAAUAAUUUACUUAAUUAGUAUUAGUUAUGUUCUUUAAAUUUAAAAAUUUUGGCGGUAUUUUAGUCUAUUUAGAGGAACCUGUUCUGUAAUUGAUAGUCCACGAUUAAUUUUACUUAUUUUAUAAAUUUGUAUACCGUCGUUAUUAGAAAAUUUUAAUAGAAAAUAAAUUUUUAAUAUUUUAUAUUAAAAAAUAUAUCAGAUCAAGGUGCAGUAUAUAUUUAAGAAGAAAUGGGUUACAAUAAAUUUAUUUAUACGGAUUAAAAUAAGAAUAUAUUUUAUAAAGGUGGAUUUAAUAGUAAUAAAAUUAAUUUAAAUUUUAUGAUUUUAGCUCUAAAAUAUGU
rnacentral:rRNA from 1 species